UAGCGAAAUUCCUUGUCGGGUAAGUUCCGACCUGCACGAAUGGCGUAACGAUGGCCACACUGUCUCCUCCCGAGACUCAGCGAAGUUGAAAUGUUUGUGAUGAUGCAAUCUCCCCGCAGCUAGACGGAAAGACCCCAUGAACCUUUACUGUAGCUUUGCAUUGGAUUGCGAACCGACUUGUGUAGGAUAGGUGGGAGGCUUUGAAGUCAGGACGCCAGUCUUGAUGGAGCCAUCCUUGAAAUACCACCCUGGUUUGUUCGCGGUUCUAACCUAGGCCCGUCAUCCGGGCCGGAGACAGUGCAUGGUGGGCAGUUUGACUGGGGCGGUCUCCUCCUAAAGAGUAACGGAGGAGUUCGAAGGUACGCUUGGUACGGUCGGACAUCGUGCCUAAAGUGCAAUGGCAAAAGCGUGCUUAACUGCGAGACUGACAAGUCGAGCAGGUGCGAAAGCAGGACAUAGUGAUCCGGUGGUUCUGUAUGGAAGGGCCAUCGCUCAACGGAUAAAAGGUACUCCGGGGAUAACAGGCUGAUACCGCCCAAGAGUUCAUAUCGACGGCGGUGUUUGGCACCUCGAUGUCGGCUCAUCUCAUCCUGGGGCUGUAGCCGGUCCCAAGGGUAUGGCUGUUCGCCAUUUAAAGAGGUACGUGAGCUGGGUUUAAAACGUCGUGAGACAGUUUGGUCCCUAUCUUCCGUGGGCGUUGCAGAUUUGAGAAAGCCUGCUCCUAGUACGAGAGGACCGGAGUGGACGCACCUCUGGUGUACCUGUUGUCACGCCAGUGGCAUCGCAGGGUAGCUAUGUGCGGAAGAGAUAACCGCUGAAAGCAUCUAAGCGGGAAACUCGUUUCAAGAUGAGAUCUGCCGGGGAUUGAUCCCCCUGAAGAGUCGUUCAAGACCAGGACGUUGAUAGGCUGGGUGUGGAAGUGCAGCAAUGCAUUAAGCUAACCAGUACUAAUUGCUCGUGAGGCUUGACCCU
rnacentral:rRNA from 1 species